rnacentral:rRNA from 1 species
GACGAACGCUGGCGGCGUGCCUAACACAUGCAAGUCGAACGAGAUCCAUGGGAGCUUGCUCCCGGAAGAUCUAGUGGCGAACGGGUGAGUAACACGUGAGAAACCUGCCCUGGAGUGGGGAAUAACUCGGGGAAACUCGAGCUAAUACCGCAUACCCUCGGAUGGUCGCAUGGCCGACCGAGGAAAGAUUUAUCGCUCUAGGAGGGUCUCGCGGCCUAUCAGCUAGUUGGUGGGGUAACGGCCUACCAAGGCAACGACGGGUAGCUGGUUUGAGAGAACGAUCAGCCACACUGGGACUGAGACACGGCCCAGACUCCUACGGGAGGCAGCAGUGGGGAAUCUUGCGCAAUGGGCGAAAGCCUGACGCAGCAACGCCGCGUGCGGGAUGACGGCCUUCGUGGUUGUAAACCGCUUUCAGCAGGGACGAAAUAGACGGUACCUGCAGAAGAAGACCCGGCGUAACUACGUGCCAGCAGCCGCGGUAA